CAGCCAAUCAUCUCCCCAUAGGAAACCUGGUGGCAAAGGCAGUAAGUAGGCUCAUUGGGGUCCACAGGCAUAUCCAAUACAUCUGAAGGGUGCACAUUUCCAAAUGUGACUGAAGGCAUCCCAUAUUCUGUGCUAGUGCGGACAAGCUUUAGUUUCUUUUGGGCAGUCUUUGGUGCCUCCUCAUCAGAAUUCUUCCCUUUAGAGCGUGCACGUGCAGCUUUCUUCUCUUUUUGGGCUCGGCCCUUCUUCUUGCCCUUGCUGGAAGAACUGUCAUAGUCACUCGAUUCUAUCUGCUUCUCCUUCAGGUCUGCUUCAAAGCGAGCAAGAUCUGUGUCCAGCCUCCGGAUGUGCUUAUCGACCAUCUCAUAGGUCUGCAUAGCCAGCUGAACCUUGUCAUCCCCAAAUUCUUUGCAUUUCCCGUACGCCUCCUGGAUUUGCUUGAGAAGCCCCAGUUUUUCCUCUGACGACAAAGUCCGUGCAUUGCUGAUAUACUCCGUGGCCAACUUAUCGAUCUCCGACUUGAGGUCUUCUGUUCUCUGAUCCAGAUCUCGCAUGAGCUGGAAGUUUCUCUGCAGUUCAAAAGGCAGGUUCUCAAUACUGUCCAGGUAGUGCUCCAGGUACAUCCCCGCCGCCAUCUUGGGCCCCGA
rnacentral:lncRNA from 1 species